UACAGAGGGUGCGAGCGUUGUCCGGAAUCACUGGGCGUAAAGGGCGCGUAGGUGGCGACCCAAGUCCGUGGUGAAAGCUCGUCGCUUAACGACGAGUCGGCCACGGAGACUGGGUGGCUUGAGCACUGUAGGGGCUAAUGGAAUUCCGGGUGUAGCGGUGGAAUGCGUAGAGAUCCGGAAGAACACCAGUGGCGAAGGCGGUUAGCUGGGCUGAUACUGACGCUGAGGUGCGAAAGCCAGGGGAGCGAACGGG
rnacentral:rRNA from 1 species